rnacentral:rRNA from 1 species
CCUACGGGAGGCAGCAGUGGGGGAUAUUGCACAAUGGGGGAAACUCUGAUGCAGCGACGCAGCGUGAGUGAAGAAGUAUUUCGGUAUGUAAAGCUCUAUCAGCAGGGAAGAAAAUGACAGUACCUGACGAAGAAGCUCCGGCUAACUACGUGCCAGCAGCCGCGGUAAUACGUAGGGGGCAAGCGUUAUCCGGAUUUACUGGGUGUAAAGGGAGCGUAGACGGUUAUGUAAGUCUGUAGUGAAAGCCCGGGGCCCAACCCCUGGACUGCUUUGGAAACUGUGUAACUGGAGUACAGGAGGGGCAGGCGGAAUUCCUGGUGUAGCGGUGAAAUGCGUAGAUAUCAGGAGGAACACCGGCGGCGAAGGCAGCCUGCUGGACUGAAACUGACGUUGAGGCUCGAAAGCGUGGGUAGCAAACAGGAUUAGAUACCCUUGUAGUC